rnacentral:lncRNA from 1 species
UUCCAUACUUCCAGUGACUGAGUUACUUCCAGAAAAUAAAAUAAAAAGAUAAGCUUUUGUUGAAUUUGGUCGUACUAAUGAUGGUUCCUGCAAAAGAAUGCAAGAUCAAAAGACCUCCACCUUAUCGAUCUUUCUUUGUGUUCCAAACUUCCAGUGACUGAACUACUUCAGAAAAUAAAAUAAAGAUGAAUGGAAAUGGCUUGUGGAUAAUCAUUGUAUUGCAUCCAAAUACAGAUAUUCAAAUAAGGUAGAUAUACCCCAGUAUGGGUUAGCAACAGGACUUCUAAAAAGACACAUAGGAAUACCAGAUCACGAGAGUACAGUAAUAGUCCUUGGAGAAUUAAUGAGAAUCCAGUAGAAAGGAAAUACCUACAAUGAUCAUAGUAUUACUCUAGAAGUUUUUGUUAUUCCAUUUCUGUUACUAUUUAAUGUUUCUUGGAAUUCGAUUAUCAUAUUACUUUGUUGUAGUGACUGUUCUUUUUAUGCUUUAUCAUGCGUUCUUUCACAUUUUGUCUUGGCUUCUCCACUCCCGUCAUUUUCGUUUUUCGAACUUCUUUGUAGUGCUUUUACUUGAGCCGAGGUUCUAUCAGAAACAAUCUCUUUACCUCCCAAGUUAAGGUCUGCCUGCGUACACACUACCCUCCCAGACUUGCUUGUAGGAUAACACUAGGUAUGUUAUUGUUGUUGCACUAGUAGUAGAAAGGAAAUAUGCAAGAAGUGCAAGCAUAAACUGGCAGGGCUAUUCUGCAAGUGAGUAACAGAUGAAAGACACACCUCAGUUACGAGAACUGCAACAACAGAGCACAGUACAAUGUGUACCUAAACAAUCAUCAGAGUAGGAGAAGCCCAACUUAAACGUUCCAGAUUCCUCAUCAUAUUUUUCAUCUAGUUGACUUGGAUGUGUAUUACAAGCCAAUCCUCACAAGAUUUUGAGAACUUUCAUGUUAAGUAUUCACCAGAAUUUGCAUCGGACAUGGAAACACCACAUAUACUGACAAAUCUCAGAAUUAUAGUAAUAGAGCUUCCCAUCCGAGUCUGAUCCAAGCUUCUGGUCUUAGCAAGUGUAGCAACCUCACAUAUGCAGACAAGUCUUGGAUUUCUAGACUCUAGUAAUAGAGUUCCGUUCAAAGUCAGAUCCACUAAAUUCUCAAGCUUCUGCUCUUAGCAAGUGCACUUUUGAGCUAAAAGAUUUGAGACAAACCCCGGGAAGAUAUAUGAAUCAGUUUCGCCUAGACAUUCAACAAACAUAAUAUCGACAUAGAGAUAAAAGCCUCCACACUCCAUCGACAUCUAAUUUCGAAAUUCUUAGAUAAAAUUAGGUCGCCAGAUUAGUUUGAGUGUGAAGUUGGCUUUUCAGGACAACUUGAGAGUGCAUUUGAUGUCUUUUCUCAAACUAAUAUUGCCCUCAAAGGGUACAAAAACAGAGUAAACAAAAAUAAAGUAAAUUAUGAACGGUUAUCAUACCUGUUAAUUGAUGGAGUCAUCCGAAUCAAAAUCAACUCGAAUACAAUCCAUAGCAAAUAGCAAUUAUUAAUCAUGAAAUUUAGAUAUAAACGGAUUCAAUUAAAACAUUUAAUGAUAAUCACAAGGACCAAUAUUAAGUUCUAAAAGUGUUCUGAAUUGUAAGAAAUAUAUAAAUCAACGGAGAAAAAAAAAAAGAAAUAUACAAAUCUGUUGCUACAAUGCAAGUAAAUGGUGCAGGAGAAUAAAUCUUAGUUCACAAGAGUUAUCCAACACACCUUACUCGAUUAACCUGAAAAUGAUUGUAAUGCAUUUAACAAAUUUUAUUGGAUUGAAGAAUUUUACUAAUCUAAUUGGCUAAUUACUUGAAUGUUCAUCUCCUUGGUGAGUGCUCAGUUCUCCACUUCGAAAUUUUCUUCCCAUUUUCCUUAUUGCAAUGAAAUAUGAAUUUGCAAAUUAUUAGCAGCAACUUACUUUAGUACAUUUAAUGUGAAUACGAGGGUGUAUUUGAAAAAGUCUUUCCAUCUCACGAUUAGGGUUUAUUUGAAAA